rnacentral:rRNA from 1 species
AGUGAACGCUGGCGGUAGGCCUAACACAUGCAAGUCGAACGGCAGCACAGGAGAGCUUGCUCUCUGGGUGGCGAGUGGCGGACGGGUGAGGAAUACAUCGGAAUCUGCCCAGUCGUGGGGGAUAACGUAGGGAAACUUACGCUAAUACCGCAUACGACCUUCGGGUGAAAGAGGGGGAUCGCAAGACCUCUCGCGAUUGGAUGAGCCGAUGUCGGAUUAGCUAGUUGGCGGGGUAAUGGCCCACCAAGGCGACGAUCCGUAGCUGGUCUGAGAGGAUGAUCAGCCACACUGGAACUGAGACACGGUCCAGACUCCUACGGGAGGCAGCAGUGGAGAAUAUUGGACAAUGGGCGCAAGCCUGAUCCAGCCAUACCGCGUGGGUGAAGAAGGCCUUCGGGUUGUAAAGCCCUUUUGUUGGGAAAGAAAUCUUUCAGGCUAAUACCCUGGGAGGAUGACGGUACCCAAAGAAUAAGCACCGGCUAACUUCGUG